rnacentral:lncRNA from 1 species
AAGCAGCCUGUGACCAUAGAGGCAGGAAACUGUGACACUGGAGGCAGGCAGGGUGUGGGGUUUAUUCUUGUGUAUGCUGGACCUACGGUAUUAACACCAUUUCAAAGAAGAGGGAACUGAGGCUUAAGAGGUAGACACCGUUUUCCCAUCGUCAUGCACUGACACACUUAUCCAGUCAUCAGCUCAUAUCCACAUGAUAUUCACAUGAUUGCCACGUGGCGACUACUUGUUCAAGCCAAGCAGGAUUGACAACGCCUUCAGUGUUGUCCAUGCCUUUGAGGUGUAGGGGUGUAUUCUAGCAAAGCUAGACAGUGACCUGGCACUCAGAUCAGUAAGGAAAUCACAGAUGGGGCAGGAAACACGCAGGGAGGAGACAUGGUAUGUGUGAGCAUGGUGGAUUUCUGAAAACGAGAUAGGAAGGGACUUUGUAGGAGGCGACAUUCAUGCUCGGACUUCAAGGUACAACAAUAUCCUAAGGCCUGUGGGUCUGAGGUAAGCAGAAAAGAACACGGGAGGCAGGUGGGUCAAGAAGAAGGCAUUUGAGGAGACAGGAGACACAUUCUGGUCACCAUGGCUACUGGUGUCUGACCCUCUCAUUACAGGACUAAGUUUAAGUAUUAGGCUUAUGGCUAUGAGCUAUCGCAGACUGCCAGAACACAGUCUACGGGCCAGGAACUCACUAGGUUGCUUGAUUGCAGAAGCUUGCUAUAGAGGAGGAAAUAGUAUCUGAGAGAGGUCAGCUUGCCUGUAUACUCGCGGUCACUACCAAGUACUAAGGAAUAAAUGGGCCAGAGUUAUCACACUGAACAUAACAACAUCAGCACCUGCUUUCCCCUAUGCAAACAUCGCAAGCACCCCAAAUCUGCCGGAACCUCCCAGGGUCUGUACCAGCCUAGUUUGGUGAGGAAAUCUCUCAAGGUUCAGGAUGUAGAAAACUGGGGCGAGUUUGUGUCUUCCAGUAAGGAGGCCAGGGCUUGAAGGAAGGGGUGUUGGGGAGGAGUUCACAGUGAUGGUUAUCAAUGAGUGAAAACUUCCCCCUCCCUGCAUGUGGCUCACUGGAGGUCUCCCUCCCCUAAGCCUGUCACUGCAGAGACUUUCAACCGCCCAGCCCUGGCUGACUCCAUCAAGCAGUCAAACCUCCAGAAGCGAUGCCUGACCAGAUCUUGCUCCUGAUGCCUGAAGGCUCCUGCCAUUUGUGAUGCAAACAAUAGUCAUUCCAGCCCUACGACUUGUCAGAACCCCCUCCUACGAUCUGCAUUAUAGCAGCAAACAAAAUGGACGAAAAAGAAAGCCUGUCUUCAGAGAGCUUGUAUUCAAGGCUAACAAACUUCCUUACUAUCAUUUACUGUGCGGCUGAGGACCC